UCUUAAUGGUUAUGACUAUAGUCUUAAUGGUCAUGUUGCUUGAGGGAUGAUAUUAUGGCAUGAGUGAGCGCAGCGAACGAGGAACAUUAUAUCGUCCCUCAAGCAACAUGACCAUUAAGACUAUAGUCAUAACCA
rnacentral:miRNA from 1 species